rnacentral:rRNA from 1 species
CUACGGGGCGCAGCAGUGAGGAAUAUUGCACAAUGGGGGGAACCCUGAUGCAGCAACGCCGCGUGGAGGAUGACGCAUUUCGGUGUGUAAACUCCUUUUAUAUGUCAAGAAAAUGACGGUAGCAUAUGAAUAAGCACCGGCUAACUCCGUGCCAGCAGCCGCGGUAAUACGGAGGGUGCAAGCGUUACUCGGAAUCACUGGGCGUAAAGGACGCGUAGGCGGGUUGGACAGUCAGGUGUGAAAUCCUACAGCGUAACUGUAGAACUGCACUUGAAACUUCUAAUCUAGAGUAUGGGAGGGGGAGAUGGAAUUAGUGGUGUAGGGGUAAAAUCCGUAGAUAUCACUAGGAAUACCUAAAGCGAAGGCGAUCUCCUGGAACAUUACUGACGCUAAGGCGUGAAAGCGUGGGGAGCAAACAGGAUUAGAUACCCUUGUAGUC